CGACGCCUCCUUUUUCUCUCCCUACCUCUGCGCUCUGCGGCCGCCGCUGAGAUCUGGGACGGCGGCACAUCCAGCCCGGGAGACGACUGGCUAGGAAAUAGAACUCUCCUGGCAACCACCAUUCUACUUGAUGCCUCUAUGAAUCUGACUACUCUAGGUACCUCAGAUGAGUGGAAUUAUGCAGUAUUUGUCCUUUUGUGUGUACAACUAAUUUGACAGGCAGUAUGAUAAGGAACAAUCUGAAUGACACGUAAACAGGAGGGGGUAAAUUCCAAGCACAGCCUGAAUGAGAAGUACAACUCAUUUCCUGUAACCUAGAUGCCUUUUUAACACAUCUAUGCAGUCUCCAUGUGAAACCAGGUGCUGUUCCCAAAGGAGAAAACACUGCCCUCCAGUGGUCUUCAAUGAAGAAAUGGAAAUAGUUUCAGGUGGAAACCAGGCUUCUUGGAAGACUUCAAACUAUGCCAAAUGGUCUGAUUUCACCAUAGAGAUUCUUUGCUGAAGAAUGCAGCUGUAUUAAAGGAAGAAAGAAAACCAAGCUACAGCUCCUUAUAAUUCAACAAGCAUUUAAAAGAUUUAUAAAGAUGGUGCAAUUAUGUAUUUAAGCUGCUUCAACACAAGUUCUUGCCUUUCACUCCCACCCUGUGGCUUACACUGGUAUUACAUCUAUUCUGACAUUUAAAAAUCAACAUUAAAGAACAUAUUGUAAUAAUGUAUUCUAUGGUUUAAAUAUUUAAAAAAUUUUACAUCAUACCUAGAAAGUGUUGUGUACUUUCUAAAGCUUAUAAACUGAAAAGGAUUUGAAGAAUCCUAAUACAGAAUCAUAAGUUAUAAUUCAUCCAAAAUUGUAUAGUUCUUAAAUUUCAAAUCCAAACCAGUGGAUAUCUGUCUUUAGUGACAUUUAGAUUUUAUUCAAUUAAGGUCAUUGUAGCUAUUAUAAAUGGAAGAUUUUACUUCAUUGUGUCUUAUCACUGAAGUACUUCACUCUUGCUUUUCA
rnacentral:lncRNA from 1 species